rnacentral:rRNA from 1 species
UACGUAGGGUGCAAGCGUUAAUCGGAAUUACUGGGCGUAAAGCGUGCGCAGGCGGUGAUGUAAGGCAGAUGUGAAAUCCCCGGGCUCAACCUGGGAACUGCAUUUGUGACUGCAUGGCUGGAGUGCGGCAGAGGGGGAUGGAAUUCCGCGUGUAGCAGUGAAAUGCGUAGAUAUGCGGAGGAACACCGAUGGCGAAGGCAAUCCCCUGGGCCUGCACUGACGCUCAUGCACGAAAGCGUGGGGAGCAAACAGG